rnacentral:rRNA from 1 species
UUAAAUUGAAGAGUUUGAUCAUGGCUCAGAUUGAACGCUGGCGGCAGGCCUAACACAUGCAAGUCGAGCGGUAGCACAGAGAGCUUGCUCUCGGGUGACGAGCGGCGGACGGGUGAGUAAUGUCUGGGAAACUGCCUGAUGGAGGGGGAUAACUACUGGAAACGGUAGCUAAUACCGCAUAA